GGCCGAGGCGUUGGGCAUUCUGCAAGGGAGUGGGCGGGGAAUUGUUAUUAAUGACAGACAAUCAAUGGACAUACCAACACCAUGGAGAUGUGUCGCAUUGCACGAGGGGAUAUGAAAGCAAAAGCUGUUUGGGGAUGUGAAAGUGGAAGGGGACGUACACAGGAAGUUGGGGACAUGCCACAUCAACAUAUUAUAUUUUAUUACAUUUUCUUCAGUUAUACAGUUUCAUAUUUAAUAUUAAUAUUUUGUCAAUAUUCUCCUUUAUAUAUCAUUUGUAGUUUGUUGUAGUUAUUAUUUAUGUAAUAUGUUAUUUGUAACGUGACGUGGUGUUGGAAUGGUUUUUGGAAUUUGAAUCUUAAAAAGCGU
rnacentral:lncRNA from 1 species